UACGUAGGGCGCAAGCGUUAUCCGGAAUUAUUGGGCGUAAAGAGCGUGUAGGCGGUUUGGUAGGUCCGUUGUGAAAACUCGAGGCUCAACCUCGAGACGCCGACGGAAACCAUCAGACUAGAGUCCGGAAGAGGAGAGUGGAAUUCCUGGUGUAGCGGUGAAAUGCGCAGAUAUCAGGAAGAACACCCGUGGCUAAGGCGGCUCUCUAGUACGGUACUGACGCUGAGACGCGAAAGCGUGGGGAGCGAACAGG
rnacentral:rRNA from 1 species